CUUGUUUUCUGAGUGGUUGUAGCACUGCGCUUCAGAGAUGGCUGCUCUUUAAUUAGUUUGCUACUGUUUAUGAAGGGAAGACCUAGAUAAAGAUGGAGGCAAGAUAGAAACGGGAAUAUUUCACUCAGCCUUAUUUUGGAAUUCCAAAGACUGUUGGGAAAAAUCACAUCAUCCAAGAUGAAGAACAAGAAGCUAACUCUUGGAAGCCACAAGAGUUUGUAACAAAGGAGAUGACGUGGGAAACCUUGUGCCCCUCUUCUCCUGGGUGACAUCAAGAGCGUUGCCAAACCUACCAUGUCAAAAGUACUCCAGAUUGUGAGGAUAUUUCACCGAAGGAAUGAGAACAAAUCAACUACAAGCCUGCAUGGAAAAAGCACACAAAUUUUAGAUGUCAAUCUCCAAUUACCAGUGACCAAAAGGGCAAAGGACCCCACUCCAGUGCCACACUCAAUAUUCCUCACCGGACACUGCAGAAUCAAACUUUGAGUCUUGGUUCCCACUGCUCAGUGCCAUGCAUGAUCUCUGUACCUCUCCAAGUGCACAAAGCAGGAAUGUAAGACAUGAGAAGAGUAACAUUAUGGUAACUGCACAAAUGAACACGACUAGAAUAACGCUAGAAGUGAGGCGAAUUAGGUCUCAUGAGUAUAAAUUUUGAGCUAAAGAAUUAAUUUAUGUUUG